CCUGGGUGACAGAGCGAGACUGCAUUUCAAAAAAAAAAAAAAAAACCAUAAGCAACUUUAGGACUCCAACUAUAGCUCUUGGUAAAUCUCUAUUUUUAUACCAUCUUUAAGAAACUUUAUAAAUAGCACACUUGAAGUUGAAAAUAAAGGAUCAUGAAAUGGAGCUUUGAAACAGCCUGCUUUCAAUCUCAAAGAAGGUAAACAGGUCCUUUGUUGACACACACUUAACUUGUUUUGAGAGCAUUUUCUUGGUGGAAAGUAAAAAGACAUUUUACACUCCAGUUUGUCUUAAUUAGUACAUUUUUUCAAACCUGGUCAAGUAAAAACUUAGCAUAUAUUGAAAAGUAAACAAAUAUUGAAAGUAUCACAAAUGAAAGCUUUUAGUUUACCUUGAAUUUCUUAACCAACUGUUAACACUAAAAGUGUUCCAAAAAGAGAAAACAAAAGAUGAAAAAUUAAAUUUUAAAAUUUGAAAGUUGGAAAAAUAUUUGAAGAGCUUCUUAAGAACUGUGUGGAAAUUCAUGUCUAAUUGCUAAAAGACUGGUAUGAGAAAAAUAGUUUCCAUCCAGCCUUCAUUCAUGGAACAACUUUGUAACUUCACAUAUUAGAUAACUAUUAUAAUUACAUAUUUCAGAAUACAAUCAUUUAUUAAUAUUUGAACUAAAUUUAUGGGGAAAUUUUAUAGUUAAAUACUAAAUUUGCUCUUUGACAAGUGUUCCUUUGAUUUUUAAAAAUUCAUUUAUCACAUUAAAUACCAACCACGUUAGAUGCUGUUAAAUUCUUUGGGUCUUAUAAAGUUGUGUAAAACAUGGUUCUUUUCUCAAAAUGCUUCCAGAUUGGUAGGGGUGUCAAACAUGUUCAUUCCUAUUAUGGGGUAGAAACCAGUAAGUGAAUCAAGGGUUACGGAAAUUCAGAGAAGAAAGAGUUUCCAGCAGGGGAAAUGAGAGAAGGCUGUCCUAGAGGGGGUGGAAUUUGACCUGUCUCUUAAUAAGUAGAUAGAAUAUACAAGUCUUGUGGUUAGGAGAAUUAACAUUCCAGGUGGAUAGGGUGUUAUAGGUAAGUGUAUAGAGGAGGGGGAAAUGGGUUAAGAUAAAAUGACCAUAGCUCAGUUUAAUGGGUACAUGAGGCAACCGAAGAAGUUAGUAGAACAUAUAGCUGAAUACGUAGGCUGUGGCAAUAUGAUGGGAUAUGUCUGUGAUGGGUGGGAAACCUUGAAUUCCAGGCUGAGGAGUUUAGAUUUUGUGAUAGACUAGGUAAAGGAAGAGUGAAAGGGUUUAGCCAGGGGAAAGGAGAAGGGAGUUGACAUGGUUCGAGAGAAAUGGGGCAAAUUGAUGGAUGGGGUGGGGGGAAGAAGAGAUUAGAGGGAAAAGGAGCCUUUGGAACUGGAGAGAUUGACGUUGUGACUGAGAGGGUACUGGAGGGUGGAAGUUCCCGGAGAUAAACGUUGAGAUGCUAUUGAAAGCCUGAGAUAAAAGGAUGAAAGUAGUGACUGAAGAAUCAAAUAAGACAAUGAAUGAUGUAGUCAGUGAAUAAAUGGGAGGCUAAAGAUGGAGAGAUUUAGAGAUAGGAGGGGGCAGUGGUGGUGAUAGGAUUUAAAUGCAUUCAUCCUGGUUAGCCUCAAUAUUUUUCAAAAUAAUAUUAGAGAUUUGGGCAUCUUCGGAGAAUGAGAGGAGAGUGGAAGAGAAUGAAAUGGCCCACUGUGAUAUUUAGACUGGGUUAGGGGAAAGGCAUGACAAAAAGGUAUUUUGUCUGGCAGUGAGACCAGGAAGGCGAUGAGGGGCCAGAGAUAACUGGGGGUGAAAGGAAAGUGUGACAGAGAAGCGCACAAGAAUUUAAAAGGACUGGGCUCGGCUGGGCACAGUGGCUCACGCCUGUAAUCCCAGCACUUUGGGAGGCCGAGGUGGGCAGAUCACAAGGUCAAGAGAUCGAGACCAUCCUAGCCAACUUGGUGAAACCCCAUCUCUACUAAAACCACAAAAAUUAGCUAAGCAUGGUGGAGCGCGCCUAUAGUCCCAGCUACUCGGGAGGCUGAGGCAGGAGAAUUGCUUGAACCCUUGAGGUUGCAAUGAGCUGAGAUCGCGCCACUGCACUCCAGCCUGACGACAGAGCGAGACUCCGUCUCAAAAAAUAAAUAAAUACAUAAAAUUUAAAAAUAAAUAGAUAAAUAAAAGGACCGGGCUUAGGCCUAUAGUAAUGCCAGCAGUUUCGGAGGCCGAAGAGGGAGGAGCGCUUGAGUCAAGGAGUUUGAGACCAGCCUGGCGACGUGGCAAGACCCCCCUUCUACAAAAAUAUAAUAAAUAAUUAACUGGGCAUGGCACACACCUGUGGUGUCACCUAUUUGGGAGGCUGAGCUGGGGGAAUCACUUGAGCCUGGAAAGUCAAAGCUGCAGUAAGCCGUGAUCGCGGCACUGAACUCCAGCCUGGGUGACAGAGCAAAACCCCAUCUCAACAAUAACAGCAAAGAAUUUAAAAGGAAGUCAGCCUGGGGGUAGAGAAAAACAUGGUGUGUGAAACAUCCUGGAUCAGACUGAUCUGGGUCCCCACAGACCCUGAUUCCUCACUCCUCAGCUCCAUGAACUUGACAAGUCAGUAACUCUUGUUUCCUCAUCUGCAAAAUGAUGACAUUACCCACUUUAUAGUAUCGCUGAGAUGAAUGAGAUUUUCUACAUCCUCACCCCCAUCCAUCCCCACCUCUGACAUAUAUAAAGUGUUCAAUAAAUAGUUGUUGCUUUUUAUUUUCAGAGCAUUUUUCUCAGCAUUUGAGAAGUUGGCAGCCAUCCAGAGAUGAUGACAUUCUAAUCUUAAGCAGCUAACCAGCAGCUAGCCUUGUAGCUACAGAAGAUGGAAGGGACCAUGUAACAGGGAAUGUGGUGGCCUCUAGGAGUUGAGUGUGGCCCACGAACUGAUAGCCAGCAUGGAACAGAGACCUCUCGGUCCUACAACCACAAGGAACCAAAAUCUGGCAACACCAAGAAUGAGCCUGGAAACAGAUUUUCCUCGUAGCCUGUGGAUGAGAACUCAGCCUUGUCAACACCUUUAUUUCAGCCUUGUGAUACUUUGGGCAGAUACCCAGUCUUCUUGUUGGACUUCCGCUCUACAGAACUAUUUAGUUGUUAUGUAACACUAGAAAAUGAAUAAACUGGCCGGAUCUGCUGCAA